AACUUAAUAUGUGGAAGACAUUGACAUCACAGGCUGUGGAAUGACUGUGUCACAGGUCGGAGAAGCGGACCGCCCCUGUCGCGGAUCACGCUCCUCCUAGUUCCACCUCGAGGAGGUCCCAAAGCACCCCAAUGACCAGACAAACCAGAGAUAAGUAAAAUAUAAAAAUAGAAACUUUAUUUAAAUUAUUUAAAACUAAAGUGGGGAAUGGGAAUCUAAAAAUCUCGCUUCUCGCCCUCAGGGGGAGUAUUACGGGGCCAGGGACGUUGGAGGGGUUUCCACGUGACUCCAGCUGGAACACCGCUAGAGAGCGUAUCUGGGUGGGUUGGGCACACACCGUCGCGGCGGCCCCUGAUGGCAUCCACAAAGGUCCAAGACCCUCCUAAGCUCCCAGCCGUAGCAGAACUACGUAUUUCAGCACCCGAACGACUAACAACCCAGCCGGCAUCUGCAGCGUAUAUCCAACGCGAUCAAACUUCACUCUGACAAGUAACUUCCUAUACACAACCACGCCGUCCUUUCGCCCGGACCAGCCCCGCACUCUUUCCGCCCGCUACCUAGCGGUCGCCGGAUCAGCAGAGCCUGCGGACUCUUCGGACUCUGUGACCCUUACAGUAACUUCUACCUUCUCUCUUUAUAUCCUCCUCCAUGGCGUGGCUCGCCCAACCAUCGCUCGCCAUGUCACUCACACAGCUGUGCCUUGUUUCAGUGAGUGCGGGGAUUCCCGGGGAACCCGGAAGUGCCGGUGUCUGUACAAACCGGUCCGGGCGGAACCUCUUCACUCUCCUUUUGGUUCCGCCCCGCAUAGUCACUCCGUGACAACUGUUUGCGUUUUUUUUUCUCCUCAAUGUUCAAUACCCUUUUGCCAUUAAGCACACAGUGACAUUAAUUUAUAAAAUAUAUGCUUAAGUUUUAAUACCUGUACAAAACAAAUGUAAAAUCAACUUGUGUAAAUUGUCAUUUUAUUUAAUAGAUUGUUCAUGAAUUGUCUUUAAAUGCAUUGUGAUUUCGGUAACACUUUACAAUAAGGUUCAUUAGUUAACAUUAGUUAAUGUAUUAACUAACUUGAACAAACCACGAGCAAUACAUUUGUUACAGUAUUUAUUCAUCUUUGUUAAUGUUAGUUAAUAAAAAUUUAAGCUUUACUUGCUUGUUCAUGUUAGUUCAGAGUGCAUUAACUAAUGUUAACAAGAUUUUAAUAAAGUAUAAGUAAUUGUUGAAAUUAACAUCAACAAAGAUUAAUAAAGGCUGUAUAAGUGCAGUUCAUUAUUAGUUCAUGUUAACUAAUGUAGCUAACUAAUGUUAACUAAUGAACCUUAUUGUAAAGUGUAACCGUGAUUUCUUUUCAUCAUUUCAGACACAUGUAAAAGUUACUAAAACUUAGUACUGCCUAUACUGUACAGUAUCUAUGCGUAAGGGAAAUAACUUGAACAAAAUUUUUUAUGUAUAGUGUAAUUAAGAGUUUAGCUGUUUAAUACAGAGAUGCAAUAUAUAUAUAUGUAUAUGUAUGUUUAUUAAAAAGUGAAAAUGCUUAAUGGAAAUAAUUAAAUAACUAAAUGGUUGAAUGUAAUGAGACAUUUUAAAUGUAUACCAAAGUUUUGCUGUCUAAUACAGAAUAAAGAGAUGUGAUUUUAAGUAA